rnacentral:rRNA from 1 species
AUUGAACGCUGGCGGCAUGCUUUACACGUGCCAGUCGAACGGCAGCGCGGGCUUCGGCCUGGCGGCGAGUGGCGAACGGGUGAGUAAUACAUCGGAACGUGCCCAGUAGUGGGGGAUAGCUCGGCGAAAGCCGGAUUAAUACCGCAUACGACCUGAGGGUGAAAGCGGGGGAUCUUCGGACCUCGCGCUAUUGGAGCGGCCGAUGGCAGAUUAGCUAGUUGGUGGGGUAAAGGCCUACCAAGGCGACGAUCUGUAGCUGGUCUGAGAGGACGACCAGCCACACUGGGACUGAGACACGGCCCAGACUCCUACGGGAGGCAGCAGUGGGGAAUUUUGGACAAUGGGCGAAAGCCUGAUCCAGCAAUGCCGCGUGUGUGAUGAAGGCCUUCGGGUUGUAAAGCACUUUUGGCGGGAACGAAAAGGACUGUGCCAAUACCACGGUUCGAUGACGGUACCCGCAGAAUAAGCACCGGCUAACUACGUG